UUGUUGCCGCUGGUGUCUUAAUACCGAUUGUGCUCGUGCUCGUGGUUGUGUUCGUUGUGCUCUAUAAAAAAGGCUGUUUCAAAUGUAAGAAGACAAAUGAUUUCGAAAAACAGCAAGGUUCUGUAAUCAAAACAGAUAUUGAAAAGGGCGAUGAGGAAAGUCAGACUCUCUUGGGCCGACAGCCCACCCUGCUUUCAAACCAGCCACUAAGCCAUUUAGUC